rnacentral:lncRNA from 1 species
UCCCCCUAGUGCUGUCUUGUGAUAGAGUUCUCACAAGAUCUGGUAGUUUGAAAGUGUGUAGCUCUUCUGCCUUUGUGUGCUUUCUCUCUCUCCUGCUUCCAAGUCAAGAUGUGCUGGCUUCUCCUUUGCCCUUCUGUCAUUAUUGUAAGUUUCAUGAGGCCUCGGAGCCACGCUUCCUGUAUAGCCUGCAGAACUGUUACUCAAUGUGAAGAUGACAACAAGGGUGAAGACUUUAAUGAUGAUCCACUUCCACUUAAAAAAUAAUAAAUAUAUUUUCUCCUCCUUAUGAUUUUUAACAUUUUAUUUUCUCUAAUUUGCUGUAAGAAUAUAGUGUAUAAUACAUAUAACAUGAAAAAAUAUGUUAAUCAACUGUUUAUGUUAUCAGUAAGGUUGGCAGUACACUACUAGAAGUUAGGAUUUUGGGGAGUCAAAAUU